rnacentral:rRNA from 1 species
CACGUGGGAACCUUCCUAGAGGUACGGAACAACUCAGGGAAACUUGAGCUAAUACCGUAUACGCUCUUGCGAGGAAAGAUUUAUCGCCUUUAGACGGGCCCGCGUCGGAUUAGCUAGUUGGUGGGGUAACGGCCUACCAAGGCGACGAUCCGUAGCUGAUCUGAGAGGAUGAUCAGCCACACUGGGACUGAGACACGGCCCAGACUCCUACGGGAGGCAGCAGUGGGGAAUCUUGGACAAUGGGCGCAAGCCUGAUCCAGCCAUGCCGCGUGAGUGAAGAAGGCCUUCGGGUUGUAAAGCUCUUUUGCCAGGGACGAUAAUGACGGUACCUGGAGAAUAAGCCCCGGCAAACUUCGUG